AGAGUUUGAUCAUGGCUCAGAUUGAACGCUGGCGGCAGGCUUAACACAUGCAAGUCGAACGGUAACAGGAGAAAGCUUGCUUUCUUGCUGACGAGUGGCGGACGGGUGAGUAAUGCUUGGGAAUCUGGCUUAUGGAGGGGGAUAACUACGGGAAACUGUAGCUAAUACCGCGUAAUAUCUUCGGAUUAAAGGGUGGGACUUUCGGGCCACCUGCCAUAAGAUGAGCCCAAGUGGGAUUAGGUAGUUGGUGGGGUAAAGGCCUACCAAGCCGACGAUCUCUAGCUGGUCUGAGAGGAUGACCAGCCACACUGGAACUGAGACACGGUCCAGACUCCUACGGGAGGCAGCAGUGGGGAAUAUUGCACAAUGGGGGGAACCCUGAUGCAGCCAUGCCGCGUGAAUGAAGAAGGCCUUCGGGUUGUAAAGUUCUUUCGGUGAUGAGGAAGGUGUUUGUUUUAAUAGAACAAGCAAUUGACGUUAGUCACAGAAGAAGCACCGGCUAACUCCGUGCCAGCAGCCGCGGUAAUACGGAGGGUGCGAGCGUUAAUCGGAAUGACUGGGCGUAAAGGGCACGCAGGCGGUGACUUAAGUGAGAUGUGAAAGCCCCGAGCUUAACUUGGGAAUUGCAUUUCAUACUGGGUCGCUAGAGUAUUUUAGGGAGGGGUAGAAUUCCACGUGUAGCGGUGAAAUGCGUAGAGAUGUGGAGGAAUACCGAAGGCGAAGGCAGCCCCUUGGGAAAUAUACUGACGCUCAUGUGCGAAAGCGUGGGGAGCAAACAGGAUUGGAUACCCUGGUAGUCCACGCUGUAAACGCUGUCUGAUUUGGGGAUUGGGCUUAGAGCUUGGUGCCCGUAGCU
rnacentral:rRNA from 1 species